UACGGGGGGGGCAAGCGUUGUUCGGAAUUACUGGGCGUAAAGGGCUCGUAGGUGGCCAACUAAGUCAGACGUGAAAUCCCUCGGCUUAACCGGGGAACUGCGUCUGAUACUGGAUGGCUUGAGUUUGGGAGAGGGAUGCGGAAUUCCAGGUGUAGCGGUGAAAUGCGUAGAUAUCGGGAGGAACACCAAUGGCGAAGGCGGCUUCCUGGCCUGUUCUUGACGCUGAGGCGCGAAAGCUAGGGUAGCAAACGGG
rnacentral:rRNA from 1 species